rnacentral:ribozyme from 13 species
UUUUUUUUUUUUUUUUUUUUUUUUUUUUUUUUCUGAAUGGAGCUAGAAGCCGCAAGAUACAUCCGUCGUGUUGCAU